AUUGAACGCUGGCGGCAUGCCUUACACAUGCAAGUCGAACGGCAGCACGGGAGCAAUCCUGGUGGCGAGUGGCGAACGGGUGAGUAAUACAUCGGAACGUGCCCGAUCGUGGGGGAUAACUACUCGAAAGAGUAGCUAAUACCGCAUACGAUCUACGGAUGAAAGCGGGGGAUCGCAAGACCUCGCGCGGACGGAGCGGCCGAUGGCAGAUUAGGUAGUUGGUGGGAUAACGGCCCACCAAGUCUACGAUGUCUAGGGGUUCUGAGAGGAAGGUCCCCCACACUGGAACUGAGACACGGCCCAG
rnacentral:rRNA from 1 species